GCGGGGCUGUCUGGACAGCGCCCCGGGGGCGCGCGGGGCGGGCGGCGCGCGGCCGGAGUCCUGCUGGUCACGCUCGGGCCGGGUUCUCGGAGAGAACCUCAGCGUCCUCAUCCAGCCCACUUCUGACCUGUCUUCAGAUCCCCCGUGCACUCUGCUCCUUCCCUCGCAAGGUCUGGGGUUAUGCAAGAGCUUGCCACUGGCGCAGUCGGCGUCCUUAGCAAUAAAAAGAUGCGGGGGGUGGGGGGAGGUGUCCUGCAGUAAUCUAGCCCUGUCCUAGGCGCCAUGGGAUUUUACAGUGGAAAGGAAGGAACAUUCCCCGCCGCAGAGGCUGACAACCUCGGUCCUUGGAUACGCGAAAACACUCCAGUGUGCUAAUAUUAUCCAGAGCAUCAAAAAGGCAUGCGAGGAUCAAAUUUUGCAUGGUGUCUGCUGAGUGUGAGGAAAACACCAAGCCAUUUUCUCUGCCCUCUAGAAGCUGGUUCAUUCAUGCAGCAGGCAGUUCUCGGAUGACUGCAGUACUGCAGAAGGUUGCAAAGGAAGUGGAAGCUCUGGUUCCUGCAGGUCAGGAGUUUACAGUCUAAUUAGGAACACAAGCAUAUAUUCUUGCAACAGGUAGAAAAGAAUCCCCACAUAUAAUCAGCAAGAAAAGAAGGCUAGGGGCAUUUUUUUCAGAAGGGGAAGAACUUUAUGCCUAUGUGAUCGGUGGGCCUCAGGAAAGGAAAUUCCAGAUCAAUUAUCAAGAGUGCUUGUAUGUAUCCCUGCUCUGUAAGCAAGGGGACCUCAGUGUCACUUGGCUGAAGUCUCAGUCCUGCCACGUACAAAUUGUGUGCCCUUGGGACGUUUUUAACCUCUCUGAGAAAGGAAUAUGGCCUGUCUCAUGAGGUCUGUUGUGCAGUUCAAAUGUGAUUACACAUACCUGUAAGCUCAAGCCACAGUGUUAAUGUUCCUCAGUUCAUACAUUUACGGAGCCCUCAUUUUACUGGACUUUUCUUGAUUCACUUGUUUCUAGUCUCUAGGCUGUAAGCUCCAUUGAGGGCAGGGCGGGGUUUAGUUGUGUUCACCAUGCAUCAUCAUGUCUAGCAGAGUGGCUCAAUAAAGGUUUGCUGAAUAAGUUGGUGAAUGAACUAAUGAAUCCUUUUAAGCUUUUAACUGUUUCUUUUGUAUCUUUUCUUUUACUAGUGCUCUUGUUAUAUGGCCAGCUCAAUGCAAAAACCUGUAACUCAACCCUCCUAUGGCUAACCUAUAUUCCAGGGGACAUUUGGGUGGCUUCUGGGUAGUUCUUGUGGCCUUAGUACAUAGAUUGAUUCAUACAUAGAACAGGAAGAUACACAAGGAUACAUUUCUCCACACAAGCCCUGUCCACACAAGGAUAUGGUUUUUGGCUUGGACACCUUAAUGCAGGGUUUGUCUACUUUGGAACUAUUGACAUUGUUGACUGGGGAAUUGUAGGGUGCUGUACUGUGUGCGCUGUAAAUGUUUUACAGCAUCCUGGGCCUCUGCCCAUUAGAUACAAAUGAGACGCCUUCCCUCCACAGUCAUGACAACCAAAAUGUCUCCAGAUACCACCAGAUGUCUCCUGGGGGUCAAAAUUGCCCCCUGUUGAGAACCACUGCCUAACUCUGAUAUCUAAUCCAUUGAUUUGAUUCCAGUGGAAAAUUACACCAGUAAAGUAACUUGGAGGAAAUACAUCCUCUGUUAUUCUAAGAUUCUCAGAUCUCUUCCAUCGUAUGUUUCAAGGAGCACGACUCUUGUUAAUUAAUUGCCUGCUGCAUUGUGAAUUGGCAUCUCUUCUGUUUUCUGCAUAUCCUCCUCCUUUACGCCCAGAUCAACAUGUUCAUUUCUAAAAGUCAACAGCUUUCAAAAACUAUUAGGAAACUGGGUCUUGAGCAACCUACGAGUUCUGUACAAUAUUUUCCUAUAACAUUUGGGUAAAACUUAUUCUAUAAAAUAUUGCAAGAAGCUACCCUGUUACAGUUAAGCUCUUAGAUUUACAAACAAUAACCAUAGCCUGUCUGCACUCAGAUUACAAGUGAUAUGGGAUACAAAUUGUAACUUUUGGAAAUGACUUCAUUUAAAGUAUUUAAGUAACUACAUGGAGUGAUUUUCUUUCAUCACGAAACCAAUUUUUUUUUAUUCCCGAGAGAUUUCAUUGCAUAAUGGUUACAAGAGAACAUGAUUUACUAAAACCUGUAAAGCAAAAAUCAGCUUAGUUACACAUGUCAAUAUCCAAAAGCAAAUUCUUUAAAAAAAAAUUUGGUGGAAUGUUUGAGAGCUGGUGCUAUUGAUGAAAAAUCCUGAUGGAUUGAUGGGCUACAGUUCAAUUUCUAAAACCUUCUUGAAGAAAAAUAAGGAGUACUGGUUAAAGAAAUAAACAAAUUCUGAUAAGUCUGUCCACUCACUAUGGGCAGGUAGAACUGAAAAACCUCUACUCCUCAGAGGCAAUAGGGCAGUGUUUCCAAAGUAAGCAGCCAUUUUUGUCCAGCAAGGCAGUAUCUUCUUGUCUCAUUAAAUGAAGUUAUUUGAAUCAUCAGCUUGAUAGUUCUGUGCAUAUUCAGUUUGGGUUUUAUAGUUGUGUAAUGGUUACAAGCCUAUGGAGAUUACUUUGCAUCUAGUUUAGUGAUUGUGCACGUUAAGGUGGUUGUGUCCAAGACUAGGUAGGCAUCCAAACUGCUGAGAAAAAGAACAGUUUGACGGCUGGAUGUGGUUUGUGGUGAAGAGAUUCUCCCAUUUCUGUUUUGUUAGACUGGAACUAGGACAAGUACUCUUAAGGGAUCUCCAAGUUCUCUAUGAAAUCCAUGAAAUUGGUGCUUUUGCUUCAGUUGUAAUAUUUUUCAAAGAAAUUAAUAUGAUGCAUAGUGAAUGUCUGCCAUGUAUCCAUGCUCCCAUUAUUCUUUUUUUGCUAUGUACUUAAAAGAAUAUACACUUUGUUUAAUUAUAUUUUAAUAAAAAUAAUGUAAGGCAUUA